UUGACGGGGCCCGCACAAGCGGUGGAUUAUGUGGAUUAAUUCGAUGCAACGCGAAAACCUUACCUACCCUUGACAUGCUAGGAACUUGCCAGAGAUGGCUUGGUGCCCGAAAGGAACCUAGACACAGGUGCUGCAUGGCUGUCGUCAGCUCGUGUCGUGAGAUGUUGGGUUAAGUCCCGCAACGAGCGCAACCCUUGUCAUUAAUUGCCAUCAUUCAGUUGGGCACUUUAAUGAGACUGCCGGUGACAAACCGGAGGAAGGUGGGGAUGACGUCAAGUCCUCAUGGCCCUUAUGGGUAGGGCUUCACACGUAAUACAAUGGUCGGUACAGAGGGUUGCCAACCCGCGAGGGGGAGCCAAUCCCAGAAAACCGAUCGUAGUCCGGAUUGUUCUCUGCAACUCGAGAGCAUGAAGUCGGAAUCGCUAGUAAUCGCAGGUCAGCAUACUGCGGUGAAUACGUUCCCGGGUCUU
rnacentral:rRNA from 1 species